rnacentral:rRNA from 1 species
GACGAACGCUGGCGGCGUGCUUAACACAUGCAAGUCGAACGAUGAAGCCUAGCUUGCUAGGUGGAUUAGUGGCGAACGGGUGAGUAAUACGUGAGUGACCUACCUUUGACUCUGGGAUAAGCCUGGGAAACUGGGUCUAAUACCGGAUACGACCAAUCUCCGCAUGGGGUGUUGGUGGAAAGCGUUAUGGAGUGGUUUUAGAUGGGCUCACGGCCUAUCAGCUUGUUGGUGAGGUAAUGGCUUACCAAGGCGACGACGGGUAGCCGGCCUGAGAGGGUGACCGGCCACACUGGGACUGAGACACGGCCCAGACUCCUACGGGAGGCAGCAGUGGGGAAUAUUGCACAAUGGGCGCAAGCCUGAUGCAGCGACGCCGCGUGAGGGAUGACGGCCUUCGGGUUGUAAACCUCUGUUAGCAUCGAAGAAGCGAGAGUGACGGUAGUGCAG